CUUUUAGAUCAAAUUAUCAACCAAACACUCUGCUCUUACCAUCUUGGGACCAUCUUCUAUUUCUUUUGCUGAGAAUAGGUUAACCAAGGGACCUUGAAAUCAUUCAAAGCCACAAUACAAAAACAUCACUUUGGCUUCUCCCAAGUUUAUCCUACUCUUCAUCUGGUGCAAGGAAACGAACAGAAAAACCGGACCCUGUUAAUUAUUCCCAAGAUGACAUCAAUGUGCUCUUCCAUGGCCUUCUACAGCUUGGAGCUGAGCUCAAGGAGCAAGGAGUUAUAGCAGAAAGCACACUGGCCACCUGUUUAAGCGACUGGACCCUUUGAACACCUCUUUAGCUGAGCUUCUAGGUCAGCCAGCAGGAGAGAAGGAAAGAGGGCUUUGAGAGGAGAGAGGAGCAGCUCGACAAGAGGAGUGAAGGCCCCUAUCAGCUGGCUGCUGAGCUCCAGUGUCAACUGGUUGCAGGGAUGACCUACAGGGAGGGAUUUAAUGAGGAGCUGAAGUUGCUGGAGCAAAGUUGGAAGAUGCUGCACCCUUUAAGGCAAGUGGGCUUCCAGUGACAAAGGUGAUGGAUGAUGUCAUGGUUAGAUAAAAGUGCAAAUUCACAAAGGAACCAGUGAAAAAGGAAAACAGAAGGAAAACUCCUGAUGUGUAGGUUGAAGAGAACAUUCUGUCUUCAGAAAUCAGAGCAAGAAAAAUGGAAGGUAAAACAUGUUCCAGGGCACCAGUCAGAGCCCCACAAGGCUGUCUGCCCUGGGAAAUGGCGCAAGAUUAGAAGGAGGCACUGGGGGUGUUAUCGCAAGCAGCAGCUUGCCCCUUAGUAACCCCUGUCCUCCACAGGCCAGGCUGCAAUAUUUCACAUAAACGCUGGUACUGUACUCUGAACAUCAGGGACCUCUACACCCCUCACAAACAGCAAAUGCAGUUAAGACGCCAGAAAAAAAAAAUGGUAUCAAAUUGUUUAAAAACUCUACAAUAAAUGGUCCAAUAUUCUUUCUCUAUGAUUUUGUAAUGUUAAAAAAAUCCACUGAAAGUCAGAAAUCAAAUGACAGAAAGAGAGAAAGAGAAAGAGAGAGAGAGAGAAAUAAAACAAUAGCCAGUCUUAAUGUCUCUUAUGGUACCACUUUUAAAGAUUUCUUUCAGUGAGAAAACAAUCCAUGCUUUUUCAACUGAUGAUCUGCAAUUUGAAUAUGAGAUAUGGUGAUUUUAUACAGCACAACUCUUAUUACUACUAAUUGAUCUUUGAACAUGAAUUGAUUAAAUAUAGCUGCUAUGAUAUUUGUAGAAUACCUUUUCUAUUACAUUAAUCUCCAUCCCAUUCUUUUCUAUGAGAUAAGUAAAAGUUCCUUUUGAGUGAGAGAUUGGAAAACCAGCAUUCCUUCUGCUAAAUAAAGCAGACCCUCAAGAAUGCUAUCUUUUAGAAAUGGGUGAAAGGAGCCAUCCUUAAAACCCACUUCACUUGUUUAAGUCCAACUAGUUUUCAAUAGCAAAGACCCAAAGGGAAAGCUAGAGUGUUUAUGGUCUUAGGUCUUAUCCAGAUCAGAUUCCCAUAGAAAAGAAUCACAAAUAUCCAAGCAUUCGAAAUCUGCUGGGGAAACCUAACUGCUUUAAGAAAAAAAAAAAUUCUCUCCCCGAUCCUGAUUGAAAAUGAUUUCUAAACCAUACUUUGUUGAACCAACUGAAAUUUUUUUCAAGUAAGAUGCCCAUGUUAGCAGAUUUCCUUCUGAAACACUGCUUGGUAGAUUUAAUAUAUUAAGAGGUUUAUAUAUAAUUCACUCUCACCUUAGUAUGAAUUGGUUUACUCACCCUCCCUCCUUACAAAAAGCUUGGAUUUAUGGACUGAAGGUGUGCAUGAAGAAAAGGAAUAAAAAGAGGAUAGGGUAAUCACUGACUAGGAAGCACUGCUUUGGGGAAGAUCUGGAUGCUUAGAGGCUUAAGGAAAGUGAUGAAGCAAGGGAAGGUGGGAAGGGACCCAAACCAAAUUUUUUCUUUUUUUUUUUUUUUUGAGACAGAGUCUCGCUCUGUAGCCCAGGCUGGAGUGCAGUGGUGCAAUCUCGCCUCGCUGCAAGCUCUGCCUCCUGGGUUCACGCUAUUCUCCUGCCUCAGCCUCCGGAGUAGCUGGGAUUACAGGCGCCUGCUACCACGCCUGGCUAGUUUUUUUUGUAUUUUUAGUAGAGACGGGGUUUCACUGUGUUAGCCAGGAUGGUCUCAAUCUCCUGACCUCGUGAUCCGCCCGCCUCGGUCUCCCAAAGUGCUGGGAUUACAGGCGUGAGCCACCACGCCCAGCCAAAAUUUUUUACUCUACAUUUUUUUCUUAAGAUUGACAAGACAGUCAAAAGGUCCACUGGAUAAAUGUAUCUUUCCUAACUCGCAGCCACUGUCCUUGGAACCCAGGAUGUGGUUUGAAGGGUCUAAGUGAUCUGGAUUUACUUUUUCUUAUUUGUCUUGUGGUUUCUGUAUAGGGAUGGCUCAGAAAUAUGUUCACCAGCUAGAGCCCCAUGUUGGUUUAUUAGAAUCCUAUUUCCAGUGUGGUUUUCUUUUUCUGCCUGAAAGUCAUUUACUAAGAAUGUAUUUUUUUCUAAAUGGGGGAAGGAUUGGAACUACUUUAGCAAGAAACAUUUCAGACAGCCUGCAAAUCUCACCUUUCCAUAGCUACAGUGACCAUUUCACUCAGUACUCUGUACAUUUGAUAAUAUGUAUGUAGAUCUGCAGAUGCUUGGGAGGUGAGUGUGCGGUUGGGAGUUAGGGAGGAAUAGGGUGUACAAGGUGCUGGGGUGCUGUGCAAGAGGAGAAAUGAAUCCAUUCCUUCAUAUGUACAGCUUAGGGUUUCUCCCCACUAUUUGAAAAUAAGAAAAUGCAGAGAAUCUGCUUUCUAGGUAAAAAACAACUUUUCCCUAUUUUGCAGGCUUAUUUCUUUGGAGUGUGGUUUAGUAAGGGACUCCACACCUUUGAGUAUCUGUCAAGGAGUGGCUAUUUUUUUUUCUUUUAUUAGAGAGUGAUGCAUUGCAGAUGUCCUAGAAAUACACCAUUCUGGGCUGGGCACGGUGGCUCAUGCCUGUAAUCCCAGCACUUUGGGAGGCCAAGGUGGGUAGAUCACAGGGUCAGGAGACUGAGACCAUCCUGGCCAACAAGGUGAAACCCAGUCUCUACUAAAAUACAAAAAAUAAGCUGGGCGUGGUGGCACAUGCCUGUAAUCCCAGCUAUUCAGGAGGCUAAGGCAGGGGAAUCGCUUGUACCAGGAAGGCGGAGGUUGCAGUGAGCUGAGAUUGUGCCACUGCACUCCAGCCUGGUGACAGAGCGAGACUCUGUCUCAAAAAAAAAAAAAAAAAAAAAAAAAAAAAAGAAAAGAAACAGAAAUACACCAGUCUGAUGGGAACACUUUUCAUGAGGCACGUUGUCCUCAGCAUCCACAAAAUUAACCUGCCCUCCCUGUCACCCUCCUACCCCCAUAUUCCUCCCAGUUCAAUGUUUUGUAGCUUCAUUAAGAACUGUGCCAGCAGCUUCUAAUGAAAUAACCAAUGAUUCUGCUUCCUGAUAUUCUUGCUCUGUGAAAUCCUCUCCCUUUGAGUGUGGGCUAGACCUAGUGACUCGCUUCUGAUGUAGUGACAAAAGUCAAUACGACGUUUGUCAAAAUAGGACAAAAGUGAUGAGGUACUGCUCUUGAGAUUAGGCUGUGAAAGACCCUGGCCUCUGUCUUGCUUUCUGUCUCUUACCCUCCCGCUUGCUUGUUUUGACGAAGCCAAUUGCUACACUGUGAGCUGCCCCCCAUGAGAAAACAUGUUAAGGAACUUAAGGAAGCCUCUGGCUUAGUGAGGAACCGACGCCCUCAGCCUAACAACCCGUGAGCAACUGCAUCCUGCCAACAGCCACAUGAGUGAGCUUGGAAGUGGAUCCACCCCCAGGGGACCCUUGAGGUGACGGCAGCCUAGGCUGACAUCCUCACUGCACUUUUCGAAAGCUCAGACCAAGCAGGUCAGCUGCACCUGCGUAACCU
rnacentral:lncRNA from 1 species